rnacentral:rRNA from 1 species
GUACACGCUGUGACUAGCAUAUCAAUAAGCGGAGGAAAAGAAACUAACAAGGAUUCCCCUAGUAACGGCGAGUGAAGCGGGAAGAGCUCAAAUUUGAAAUCUUAAAGGGUUUCCCUUUACGAAUUGUAGUUUAAAGAAGUGUUUUCUGUUGAGGUUUUGGUAAAAGUUCUUUGGAAUAGGACAUCAUAGAGGGUGAGAAUCCCGUAUUUGACCUUUACUUUCAACUUUGUGAUACACUUUCAAAGAGUCGGAUUGUUUGGGAAUGCAGUCCAAAAUGGGUGGUAAAUUUCAUCUAAAGCUAAAUAUUGGCGAGAGACCGAUAGCGAACAAGUACCGUGAGGGAAAGAUGAAGAGAACUUUGAAAAGAGAGUUAAACAGUACGUGAAAUUGUCAAAAGGGAAGCGUUUGACACCAGUGUUGUUUUUCUGAAAAUCAAUUAAAGAACUGUUUAUGCUAAGCUUGUUUAGACUUUAUCAGCUAACUGUUUAGUUUUGAGCUUUUCUUUAAUGCACUUUUCAGUUAACAAGUCAACAUCAAUUUCUUUUGCUGUAAAAAAGCUUGAGGAAGGUGGCUUGAGAUUCGUCUUAAGUGUUUAUAGCCUCUUGCCUAUGCAGUCGGAGGGAUUGAGGUCUGCAGCGUAGAUCCUUCGGGGCUAAAUGCAUUUGUGCUAAGUUAUAGCAUUUUCAUAGACAACUUGUUGACUAUGAUUUGUCUUGUAGCUUACUCGCUUAUGUUAUUUUACCUACGCUUAGGAUGUUGACAGCAGUAUAGACUG